rnacentral:rRNA from 1 species
UUAGGCGACUUGCCAUGGGCGAACCCUGAUGCAGCGACGCCGCGUGAGGGAUGACGGCCUUCGGGUUGUAAACCUCUUUCAGCAGGGAACGAAGCGAAAGUGACGGUACCUGCAGAAGAAGCACCGGCUAACUACGUGCCAGCAGCCGGCGGUAAUA